GACGAACGCUGGCGGCGUGCUUAACACAUGCGAGUCGAACGGAAAGGCCCUGCUUUUGUGGGGUGCUCGAGUGGCGAACGGGUGAGUAACACGUGAGUAACCUGCCCUUGACUUUGGGAUAACUUCAGGAAACUGGGGCUAAUACCGGAUAGGAGCUCCUGCUGCAUGGUGGGGGUUGGAAAGUUUCGGCGGUUGGGGAUGGACUCGCGGCUUAUCAGCUUGUUGGUGGGGUAGUGGCUUACCAAGGCUUUGACGGGUAGCCGGCCUGAGAGGGUGACCGGCCACAUUGGGACUGAGAUACGGCCCAGACUCCUACGGGAGGCAGCAGUGGGGAAUAUUGCACAAUGGGCGGAAGCCUGAUGCAGCAACGCCGCGUGCGGGAUGACGGCCUUCGGGUUGUAAACCGCUUUCGCCUGUGACGAAGCGUGAGUGACGGUAAUGGGUAAAGAAGCACCGGCUAAGUACGUG
rnacentral:rRNA from 1 species